UACGAGGGGUGCAAGCGUUGCUCGGAAUUAUUGGGCGUAAAGGGCAGGUAGGUGGUCUCAUUUGUCAGGGGUGGAAGCCUUGGGCUUAACCCAAGAAGUGCCUUUGAAACGGUGAGACUGGAGUCUUGGAGAGGGUCGUGGAAUUCCCAGUGUAGCGGUGAAAUGCGUAGAGAUUGGGAGGAACACCAGCGGCGAAGGCGGCGACCUGGACAAGCACUGACACUCAACGUGCGAAAGCGUGGGUAGCAAACAGG
rnacentral:rRNA from 1 species